GACCCGACUGCUAUUUGGGUGAGAAUAAGCCAUGCGAGUUGAAUGGGAUACCUAAAGUUCCCAUAGCAAACUGCUCAGUAACACAUGAUCAACUUACCCUAUAGAGAAAAAUAACCUCGGGAAACUGAGGAUAAUGUUUCAUAAUUGAAUUGGCUUGGAAAAGUUUUUCAAUGAAAAGGAUAAAAAAAAUGGUUUUUAUCUGCUAUAGGAUAGGAUCGUGUUCGAUUAUGGUUGUUGGUGAGAUAAUGGCUCACCAAGCCGAUAAUCGAUAGGGGCCGUGAGAGCGGGAGCCCCGAGAUGGGUACUGAGACAACGACCCAGGCCUUACGAGGCGCAGCAGGCGCGGAACCUCCGCAAUACACGAAAGUGUGACGGGGUUACCCAAAGUGUUCAAUUUGAACUGUGGUAGGUGAGUAAUGUCCCCUACUAGAAAGGAGAGGGCAAGGCUGGUGCCAGCCGCCGCGGUAAAACCAGCUCUUCAAGUGGUCGGGAUAAUUAUUGGGCCUAAAGUGUCCGUAGCCGGUUUAGUAAGUUCCUGGUAAAAUCGGGUAGCUUAACUAUCUGCAUGCUAGGAAUACUGCUAUACUAGAGGGCGGGAGAGGUCUGAGGUACUACAGGGGUAGGGGUGAAAUCUUAUAAUCCUUGUAGGACCACCAGUGGCGAANGCGUCAGACUGGAACGCGCCUGACGGUGAGGGACGAAAGCCAGGGGAGCGAACCGGAUUAGAUACCCGGGCAGUCCUGGCCGUAAACGAUGCAUACUANGUGAUGGUACGGCCAUGANCCGUAUCA
rnacentral:rRNA from 1 species